AUUGCCACCUAGUUUUGGCCUAUUGUUAUUGGGCUUGUUUAGCCGUGCACAACUGUUUAUUGAUGCCUCGGCAAUACCGGCUGAACGAUGCGAUGCGCGAGGGAUUUUGGUCACCCGUUUGGUUACAGCGUUUUUUUUUUGUGAUUAGGUUGGAAUAUAUCAGUGUGUUAUAUAUAUUUGUUUUUCUGUCCUAAAUUAUCGAAUGUGGGAGGAAAAAGUAUUAUGUAGUAACUGAUGAAAAAAGUGAACCCAUUAUUGAAAGUGAUAAACUUUUAUUGCCGAAUAUCACAGAUAAAAACUGAAAGAAUAGAACAGAUCUAUUCAACUGAGAUGAAAUCACAAAUAUAUCAUGUCCUGGACUCAGCACUGGUGCCGUUCAGUCGGUCCCCAUCUGUUGACAAAUAAUAACGCCAUCCUGUUUUGUGAUUAUUCAGUACGGCUGAGCAAGCCCAUUGAUUCACCAACACUGAAAAUGGUGUGCCAAACACGUCCCGGUAAAAUACUUGUAUAAAACAAAAUUUUAUUUUAACAAUGAAAAUUAGUCAUUAUGUACAUAGUAUUAGGCGCCAUUAUUUUUUUUAUUAAACAUUAUACAGAAACCAAAUAAUAAGAAAAUAUUCUACAUCAUCUAAGGAACUGUCAUUUUCUAUUGACAAAUUGUAAUUAACCGCUCGACGGCCGGAUCAAUAAAGUCAAGAUAUAUUUUCUUCUCUUCAUGUUGGGCUGCUUUUCGUCCCUCUUUCACUUCGUAUUUUCGUUUGUUUCCUCUUAUAAAAUUCAAUAUUUUUGGUUUUUAACCUGUAGAUAAUUUCUUGCUUUUUCUCAGAUGAAGUUGGAGUCUUUUCUAUGUUAUACAUUCAAAAAAAGAAAAAAAAAUAAGCCGCUAAGUUUCAAAUGCUAUUUUCUUCAGAAUAAACAAUAAAAUAUGAAAUCUUUGUCACUUGAUUUUUGUGGAAAUAAAGAAAAAUCACUUCUU